rnacentral:rRNA from 1 species
CCCGCUGAACUUAAGCAUAUCAAUAAGCGGAGGAAAAGAAACUAACAAGGAUUCCCUUAGUAACUGCGAGUGAAGUGGGAAAAGCUCAAAUUUAAAAUCUGGCAGUGAUUUGCUGUCCGAGUUGUAACCUAGAGAAGUGUAACCGUCGCUGGACCAUGUAUAAGUCUCCUGGGAUGGAGCGUCAUAGAGGGUGAGAAUCCCGUGUAUGACAUGGACUACCAGUGGAUUGUGGGUGUGCUCUCAAAGAGUUGAGUUGUUUGGGAAUGCAGCUCUAAAAGGGUGGUAAAUUCCAUCUAAAGCUAAAUAUUGGCGAGAGACCGAUAGCGAACAAGUACCGUGAGGGAAAGAUGAAAAGAACUUUGGAAAGAGAGUUAAACAGUAUGUGAAAUUGUUGAAAGGGAAACGUUUGAAGUCAGAGAGGUUGGUCAGGGAUCAGCCUAGCAGUAUUUUUGCUGGGUGGAAUUUCUGGACAACGGGCCAACAUGAGUUUUGACUGCUAGAGAAAGGCAUUGGGAAUGUGGCACCUUUUGGGGUGUGUUAUAGCCCAAAGUCAUAUAGAGCAGUUGGGACUGAGGAAAGCAGCACGCCGCAAUGGCGGGGUUUCGACCACAUUCGUGCUUAGGAUGUUGGCAUUAAUGGCUUUAAGCGACCCGUCUUGAAACACGG